CAAACCGGAGGAAGGUGGGGAUGACGUCAAAUCAUCAUGCCCCUUAUGACCUGGGCUACACACGUACUACAAUGGCCGGUACAACGGGAAGCGAAGCCGCGAGGUGAAGCCAAUCCCAUCAAAGCCGGUCUCAGUUCGGAUUGCAGGCUGCAACUCGCCUGCAUGAAGUCGGAAUUGCUAGUAAUCGCGGAUCAGCAUGCCGCGGUGAAUACGUUCCCGGGUCUUGUACACACCGCCCGUCACACCACGAGAGUUUACAACACCCGAAGUCGGUGGGGUAACCCGCAAGGGAGCCAGCCGCCGAAGGUGGGGUAGAUGAUUGGGGUGAAGUCGUAACAAGGUAGCCGUAUCGGAAGGUGCGGCUGGAUCACCUCCUUU
rnacentral:rRNA from 1 species